UGAUGCAGCCAUGCCGCGUGUGUGAAGAAGGCCUUCGGGUUGUAAAGCACUUUCAGUAGGGAGGAAGGUGGUAGUGUUAAUAGCGCUAUCAUUUGACGUUACCUACAGAAGAAGCACCGGCUAACUCCGUGCCAGCAGCCGCGGUAAUACGGAGGGUGCGAGCGUUAAUCGGAAUUACUGGGCGUAAAGCGCAUGCAGGUGGUUUGUUAAGUCAGAUGUGAAAGCCCCGGGCUCAACCUGGGAAUUGCAUUUGAAACUGGCAAACUAGAGUACUGUAGAGGGGGGUAGAAUUUCAGGUGUAGCGGUGAAAUGCGUAGAGAUCUGAAGGAAUACCGGUGGCGAAGGCGGCCCCCUGGACAGAUACUGACACUCAGAUGCGAAAGCGUGGGGAGCAAACAGGAUUAGAUACCCUGGUAGUCCACGCCGUAAACGAUGUCUACUUGGAGGUUGUGGCCUUGAGCCGUGGCUUUCGGAGCUAACGCGUUAAGUAGACCGCCUGGGGAGUACGGUCGCAAGAUUAAAACUCAAAUGAAUUGACGGGGGCCCGCACAAGCGGUGGAGCAUGUGGUUUAAUUCGAUGCAACGCGAAGAACCUUACCUACUCUUGACAUCCAGAGAAGCCAGCGGAGACGCAGGUGUGCCUUCGGGAGCUCUGAGACAGG
rnacentral:rRNA from 1 species